UACCAGCACCCCGAGUGGUCGGGACGAUUAUUGGGCCUAAAGCAUCCGUAGCCGGCCUUACAAGUCCUCCGUUAAACCCAGCUGCUUAACAGAUGGGCUGCGGAGGAUACUAUAAGACUAGGAGGCAGGAGAGGCAAGCGGUACUCAGUGGGUAGGGGUAAAAUCCGUUGAUCCAUUGAAGACCACCAGUGGCGAAGGCGGCUUGCCAGAAUGCGCUCGACGGUGAGGGAUGAAAGCUGGGGGAGCAAACCGG
rnacentral:rRNA from 1 species